rnacentral:rRNA from 1 species
AUGCAAGUCGAGCGCAUCCUUCGGGAUGAGCGGCGGACGGGUUAGUAACGCGUGGGAACGUGCCCUUCUCUAAGGAAUAGCCUCUGGAAACGGAGAGUAAUACCUUAUACGCCCUUCGGGGGAAAGAUUUAUCGGAGAAGGAUCGGCCCGCGUUAGACUAGAUAGUUGGUGGGGUAACGGCCUACCAAGUCUACGAUCUAUAGCUGGUUUUAGAGGAUGAUCAGCAACACUGGGACUGAGACACGGCCCAGACUCCUACGGGAGGCAGCAGUAGGGAAUCUUGGACAAUGGGCGCAAGCCUGAUCCAGCCAUGCCGCGUGAGUGAAGAAGGCCUUAGGGUCGUAAAGCUCUUUCGCCUGUGAUGAUAAUGACAGUAGCAGGUAAAGAAACCCCGGCUAACUCCGUGCCAGCAGCCGCGGUAAUACGGAGGGGGUUAGCGUUGUUCGGAAUUACUGGGCGUAAAGCGCGCGUAGGCGGAUUGGAAAGUUGGGGGUGAAAUCCCAGGGCUCAACCCUGGAACUGCCUCCAAAACUCCCAGUCUAGAGUUCGAGAGAGGUGAGUGGAAUUCCAAGUGUAGAGGUGAAAUUCGUAGAUAUUUGGAGGAACACCAGUGGCGAAGGCGGCUCACUGGCUCGAUACUGACGCUGAGG